AACGAACGUUGGCGGCAGGCUUAACACAUGCAAGUCGAACGCAUCCUUCGGGGUGAGUGGCAGACGGGUGAGUAACGCGUGGGAACGUGCCCUUCAGUUCGGGAUAACCCAGGGAAACUUGGGCUAAUACCGGAUACGUGCGAGAGCAGAAAGAUUUAUCGCUGAAGGAUCGGCCCGCGUCUGAUUAGCUAGUUGGUGGGGUAAUGGCCCACCAAGGCGACGAUCAGUAGCGGGUCUGAGAGGAUGAUCAGCCACAUUGGGACUGAGACACGGCCCAAACUCCUACGGGAGGCAGCAGUGGGGAAUAUUGGACAAUGGGCGCAAGCCUGAUCCAGCCAUGCCGCGUGAGUGUUGAAGGCCUUAGGGUUGUGAAGCUCUUUCGUCCGGGACGAUAAUGACGGUACCGGAAGAAGAAGCCCCGGCUAACUUCGUGCCAGCCGCCGCCGUAA
rnacentral:rRNA from 1 species